rnacentral:rRNA from 1 species
UACGGGGGGGGCAAGCGUUGUUCGGAAUUACUGGGCGUAAAGGGCGCGUAGGCGGGUGGGAAAGUCUCUAGUGAAAGCCCACGGCUCAACCAUGUAAGUGCGGGAGAUACUGUCUGUCUUGAGUCCGGGAGAGGAGGGUAGAAUUCCCAGUGUAGCGGUGAAAUGCGUAGAUAUUGGGAGGAACACCGGUGGCGAAGGCGGCUCUCUGGACCGGUACUGACGCUGAGGCGCGAAAGCUAGGGGAGCAAACGGG